CGUUCUUCGCUGAAUAUAUAUAUAUAUAUAACAACUUGUUGCUAUUAUAAAUGCACUUAUACUUUUCAAAGUUGUCUUAUUCGAUAAUACAAAGGUGUGGACAUCUCGUCUUGUGCGCAUGUGAACUUUCAAGGUCAGUUCCCUUCCAAAGCUGCUAAUAUCAUGCAUGGCGCCUAUAAAUAAGAGUGGCAGCGAAGAGGCAAUGAUAAACACAAAUAUUUCAAACAUGAAAGCCUUUCUUGUGAUCAUAUGCAUUCUCUUAGCAACCAUCGUCUUCUCUCCCUCAAUAUCCACUUGCACUGCGAAAGAUCCAGGCACGGGAUUUGCCCCCGCCAAUUCAGGAUCUCCAUGCGGUGCUAAUAAAGCAAAUUGCCUCCCUAAGUCAAAUCCAGGACGGAAUAAACCAAAAAAACGUUGUGAAUCUCCUGUGGAGCAAACUGACUGUGACCCAAAUUGAAGAUUGAAGGCGAGCAAAGUUGUAUGCGUUUUUAAGAGUGACAACAACUAGUCAUGUUACAUAUAUAUGUGUGUGUGUGUGUUAUAUAUUUUGAUUCGAGAACUAUAUAUUUAUGUAAGAAAAAUAAAUUAACUUCAGUUCCCAGUACAUGGUGACAACAACUUGCAUCAUGAUCAGGUUUUGAUUUUUCUUGGUUUUGAUUCCAUGAAGUUGUGUAAUCUUUGUUGAGGUUUAUGCAAAAUAAAUAAAGAGCUUAAUUGGUCUA